rnacentral:rRNA from 1 species
CCUACGGGAGGCAGCAGUAGGGAAUCUUCCACAAUGGGCGAAAGCCUGAUGGAGCAACGCCGCGUGAGUGAUGAAGGCCUUCGGGUUGUAAAACUCUGUCAUUCGGGACGAACCGGAGUCUGAGGAAAUGCAGACUCUCUGACGGUACCGGAGGAGGAAGCCCCGGCUAACUACGUGCCAGCAGCCGCGGUAAUACGUAGGGGGCAAGCGUUGUCCGGAUUCACUGGGCGUAAAGCGCGCGCAGGCGGUGAUGUAAGUCUGAGGUGAAAACCCGAAGCUCAACUUCGGGACUGCCUUGGAUACUGCGUCACUUGAGGAUAGGAGAGGCAAGGGGAAUUCCACGUGUAGCGGUGAAAUGCGUAGAGAUGUGGAGGAACACCUGUGGCGAAGGCGCCUUGCUGGCCUAUUUCUGACGCUGAGGCGCGAAAGCGUGGGGAGCAAACAGGAUUAGAUACCCUGGUAGUCCACGCUGUAAACGAUGAGUGCUAGGUGUAGGUGGGCUCAUACCCAUCUGUGCCGAAGCUAACGCAUUAAGCACUCCGCCUGGGGAGUACGGUCGCAGACUGAAACUCAAGGAUUGAGG